rnacentral:rRNA from 1 species
UAAUACGAACCGUACAAACGUUAUUCGGAAUCACUGGGCUUAAAGGGUGCGUAGGCGGCCAUGUAAGUGGGGUGUGAAAUCCCUCGGCUCAACCGAGGAACUGCGCUCCAUACUGCAUGGCUUGAGGGAGACAGGGGUAAGCGGAACUGAUGGUGGAGCGGUGAAAUGCGUUGAUAUCAUCAGGAACACCGGUGGCGAAAGCGGCUUACUGGGUCUCUUCUGACGCUGAGGUACGAAAGCUAGGGGAGCGAACGGGAUUAGAUACCCCGGUAGUCCUAGCUGUAAACGAUGAGCACUUAUCUGGGGAUCCUCCCAUAGGUUCCCGGAUGUAGCGAAAGUGUUAAGUGCUCCGCCUGGGGAGUAUGGUCGCAAGGCUG